rnacentral:rRNA from 1 species
AAAUGACGGUACCUGACUAAGAAGCCCCGGCUAACUACGUGCCAGCAGCCGCGGUAAUACGUAGGGGGCAAGCGUUAUCCGGAAUUACUGGGUGUAAAUGGUGCGUAGGUGGUAUGGCAAGUCAGAAGUGAAAACCCAGGGCUUAACUCUGGGACUGCUUUUGAAACUGUCAGACUGGAGUGCAGGAGAGGUAAGCGGAAUUCCUAGUGUAGCGGUGAAAUGCGUAGAUAUUAGGAGGAACAUCAGUGGCGAAGGCGGCUUACUGGACUGAAACUGACACUGAGGCACGAAAGCGUGGGGAGCAAACAGGAUUAGAUACCCUGGUAGUCCACGCGGUAAACGAUGAAUGCUAGGUGUCGGGUGACGAAGUCAUUCGGUGCCGCCGCAAACGCAUUAAGCAUUCCACCUGGGGAGUACGUUCGCAAGAAUGAAACUCAAA